UACGUAGGGGGCAAGCGUUGUCCGGAUUUAUUGGGCGUAAAGAGCGUGUAGGCGGCCAUACAGGUCCGUUGUGAAAACUGGAGGCUUAACCUCCAGACGUCGAUGGAAACCGUAUGGCUAGAGUCCGGAAGAGGAGAGUGGAAUUCCUGGUGUAGCGGUGAAAUGCGCAGAUAUCAGGAGGAACACCGGUGGCGAAGGCGGCUAUCUGGACAGAAACUGACGCUGAGGCGCGAAAGCUAGGGGAGCAAACAGG
rnacentral:rRNA from 1 species